CGGAGACCAGAGGACAACCGGCAGGAGUCAGUUCUCUCCUUCUACCAGGUAUAUAGGAGUACUGUACUUUUGUAUUAAAAUGGAGAAUUGUGAAGACAGGAAGAGGUAGCACUUGGAAAUGACUCUCCUGGAUGAGUAGAUCACUUAGGAGUCGUCGGCAUUACAGAACGAUAUGCUGGUUUGGAAGGUGCUGGAACUAAAUUGCAAACUUUCAUUUUUUUCAUUCAACCCAUGGAUUUUCUAAUUGUUCCUUGGAGUAGAUGAAGUCCGAAGCCAGUGUGUGAUGGGGCAUGAGGCGUGCCAGUGUUUUCCUACUUACUGCAUCUUGGAUUAGUUUGCUGCCAUUUUGAAGAGUUUGCAUUUUUGUGGGCAAGGACCUAAUGUGAUGGAUUUAUCUUCAGAAAUGAACAGACAUGGGAAGAAUCCGGUGAGUCACAAGCUGGAAGACCAGAAGAAGGUAAGAGAGGCAAAAACCCCUCUGCUUCAUCUGCUUUUAUAAAGCGAGUUUGGUCAGUAGGAGUCAAUGUAUUGGUUCCUCUUACUCUGCAGUCUUGAAUCUCACCUUGAAGGGUCAAACUUGAAUUUAGUUUUUCUAUCUUUUAAGAAACUCUUCCUUGCUCAGGAAUUGCACUCACUGUAGUAAAAACAAUGUUACAGGCACUUACAAGAAGGGUUAAGGAAAGUGCCCAGGACAGAAAGCCCUGUUAAUUUCACCUUGUAGGAUGGAUGUAUUUGGUGACUACUGUUAGUACAGGGUAGGACUGUAG
rnacentral:lncRNA from 1 species